rnacentral:sRNA from 1 species
GCCAGGCACAGAGGCGCACGCCUGUAAUCCCAGUGGCUCUGGAGGCUGAGACAGGAGGGUUGCAAGUUCAAAGCCAGCCUCAGCAAAAAGCCAGGCACGAAGCAACUCAGUGAGACCCUGUCUCUA